rnacentral:rRNA from 1 species
UACGUAGGGGGCGAGCGUUGUCCGGAAUCAUUGGGCGUAAAGAGCUCGUAGGCGGCUGCGUAAGUCAGGUGUGAAACCCCCAGGCUCAACCUGGGGCCGCCAUCUGAUACUGCUCUAGCUUGAGUCCGGUAGGGGACCACGGAAUUCCUGGUGUAGCGGUGAAAUGCGCAGAUAUCAGGAGGAACACCGGUGGCGAAGGCGGUGGUCUGGGCCGGCACUGACGCUGAGGAGCGAAAGCGUGGGGAGCAAACAGG